rnacentral:lncRNA from 1 species
UAUCUCAAAUUGCCCAGAAGAUAUUUUUGUCUACUUAUUUGCAUGAUGGGGAAAAAAUUCAGCAGUGUGUGUUUUAAGCUAUUUUGGUAUUGCUUUUCUUUUGGAGUGAUCAGAAGGGUAUACAUUUAGGAAUUUUCCCCAUCUUCUCUCUCUCUCUUCUUUUGAAGUCAACAAAGUAUCUCAUUUGCGGCAGAAGGGAGGAAGAAUUGGAAAUAGUACACAGACCUAUGUUUGAACUUGGAAAAACUUUGAGGAGUUUUAAGAAUCCAUAUUUGAGAACAGUUAACUUAUAAAUUAUUUUAAUUUUUUUAAAGGCAUCAUGUGUCAAGUGUGAAUGUUUCCAUGUAUAAUGCUCCUUGCUGUCAGUCCUGUUUUCUGUCAUGUUGGGUAGGGACAAGCUGAAGUCAAGCUGAGAGAGCAAGGCAGAGAUAAUACUGAAGGAAAAUCUGAACAGGAAGAAAAGUGGGAGUGAAAAGUAGGCAUUCAUGCCUUAGGAGGUAUUCUUGCUUUCCUAGUCAGUUUCUUGAAAGGUCCAUCUUUGGUCAGUGCCGGACAUGAUAUCCUUCAUUUUCCAAAGUCAGGACCUCCUCCCACCUCAGGUCUACAAAUAUACAAUCUGGGGCCAUUAUCCAAGAAGGAGAAGGAAAACAUACUCAAUGGCCUCAUAGCUGCUUUAGCAGUUUUAAAAAGAUACAGAAAUUAUAUCCAGCAAAUACAUGGUACAGUGUCAAUAUACAUACUACGCACACUUUACAAAAAUGUUUUUAAAGACCCACAUAAACACCCUUCAUUAUUAUUCACCCUCUCAUUUAUCCUGUUGAUGAGAGAUUUGUGCCUCUCAUACUUGAUCCUUUUAUUGAUGUGUUUAAAACAGAAUUAUGCAUGUUUCUCCUCCAAAGAAAAUCACAUGUUUCCUCUACAUCUGGAUCUCACAGCACCAAUGUAGGUUUUGGUCAAAAUGUUCUAAAGACAUGUGAAAAAUAAGAGGCAAAUGCCAGUAAUC